UUAAAUAUUUGUAGAGUUUUAAUGGGUUUGUGGUAAAGUUCAUUUGUAUUGUGUUUUUUUCGAUUGCUUGAAGAGUUAGAGUUCUUCAAUUUUCUUAAAGAAUUUUAUGUCUUAUCCAAUUGUUAUUGUUCUUCACUGAGAUGAAUUUACGAGAUUGAGGUGGAGUUAGAGUUAAUAUCAGAUAUGAAAAGAUGGGCUUUCAUCUGAUUUGAGUUUGCAUAAAAGUCAUGAGAUAUUUGGUGAGCAUUUGAACAGAAAAAACUCACAUCAAGAGUUUGCAAAUUCUGAGUUUAGAAAGCUAUUUACAUAACGUUCAACCGAUGAUGUGACAACGGUAUGGGAGUUCUUGAAAUAUGGGGUAAUUACUUACUGAACUUUGACUUUGUAUUGGCUACUAGUCAAUUGAAAUGCUCAUUAUGAUUUUCAAGAUUGGAGCUUUUUUUCUUACUUAGUUUUGGUUACCCUUGAGAUAUCAUUUUAGGAAAUUGAAGAAGUAUUUCCUCUUCCAAAUGAAAACUCUAAUGUCAGGGUUGUCGUUGGAUGGGAACAUUGUAUUGCAGUCUCAGGUAACAUAUGAUUGUAGUUGUUGAAUUUGAUUGUUUGUUAAGUAUCAAAGAUGUAAAAGCAGGUAGCUUCAGUUGUAUUUUUAUGUAUAAUGAAUGGAGAAGUAUACACAUGGGGCUUAAGUAGGUGAUUUCCAAUAUUAUGUGUACAUUUCAACUUUGAACUCUAUAACGAACAAGUUAUAUUCGAUUAUACUCACAAAAUUCCUAAUGUACCCUUAUACUCUUAUCAGCUUAUAUUAGUUUAUGUUUUGAUGUGUUCUUUGUAGCUAUAAGAUUUGUUGCCUGACAAUGAUCUGCCAAAAGUGCGCAUGAGGUCAGCAGACUCUUUUGUAAAACUUGUGCGGGAGAAAGUUAAAAAUCCAGUGGACUUCUCCAAAGUCCUGAAAGUGGGAAUUCAGCAUAGGGGCAGACACAUCAAAAUUCAAUGUCUCUCAUUUACUUGGCAGGAAGUGAAGGUUUGCUCGUGGAAGAUGCUACUGGAGAGCAUAUUACAGACUUGUUUCAUGUGACGAAAUCGCUAUCUGCUUUGGGUGAUGUCUUGUCUUCGUUGACCUCGAAGAAGGAGAUGAUACCUUAUGAAAACUCUAGACUUACAAGACUACUCGAAGAUUCAAUAGGAGGAAGCUCAAAAACAUUGUUGAUCGUAAAUUUCUGUCCCAAUACUUCUAUUCUGGCCAAGACACUGUCAGCUCUUACUUUCUCUGCAAGAGAUCGGAGUGUUGAGCUAAAUAUUGGGAAUCGAGAAACAAUUAAGAAAUGGAGAGAAGCAGUUGUAUGAAAAGGAGAAAGAAGUUCAAGAUUUGAAGCUUAGAGUCUAUGGGACUAAAGCAUGAGCUUAAAGGUGCAAAUGAGCAAUGUAUUCUUCUUUUCAAUGAAGUACAGAAGGCCUAGAAAGUUUCCUCUACAUUGCAGGCAGAUCUAAAGUCAGAAAAUUUGAUGUUGUCUGAAAAGCAUAAGAUUGAGAAGGAUCAAAACACACAACUCAGAAAUCAAGUUGCCCAUAUUUUGCAACUGGAGGAAGACCAGAAAAUUCAGAUACAAGAACGUGAUUCGACAAUUCAGGUGCUCCUUAAUAUACGGCUUCACAUAUGCAAACGCGACCGUAGAGAACAGGAGUUGGUGCUCCUUAGGUAACUUGAAGAAACUCCAAGAUCUCAAAACCCAGAGAAGAAGAAGAAAAAUUCUUAGAGAAAGAUGUGGAAACCAAUUUGUUUCACGUUGGCAGCAACAGUAGGGGAUAAUAUUGGGAAAGUUUUGCAGAAGAAAGGAACUGUUAUUCUUCCUCUUCUUUCAUUGAAGCUCAAGGUAUCUUCUUUUGUAAUUUGUUGACAUGGAUUUGUGAUUUACAAUAACGAGUUCCUGUUGAAUUUCUGUUUUAUCAUUAGAAUGGGUACUUGAAUCAAUUUCUAAAUCUUAGGCGAUGUUUUUUCUUA